rnacentral:rRNA from 1 species
CAUGCCGCGUGUGUGAAGAAGGCUUUCGGGUUGUAAAGCACUUUAAGUUGUGAGGAAAGGUUAAAGAUUAAUACUCUUUAGCUAUGACGUUAACAACAGAAUAAGCACCGGCUAACUCCGUGCCAGCACCGGCGGUGACUGAGCGGGCUGGCAAGGCGCAUA